rnacentral:rRNA from 1 species
GAUGAACGCUGGCGGCGUGCUUAACACAUGCAAGUCGAACGGAACUACUCCAAUGAGAGUCUUCGGAAAGGAUUUGGUUUAGUUUAGUGGCGGACGGGUGAGUAACGCGUGGGUAACCUGCCCUAUACAGGGGGAUAACAGUUGGAAACGACUGUUAAUACCGCAUAAGCGCACAGGAGCGCAUGCUCCGGUGUGAAAAACUCCGGUGGUAUAGGAUGGACCCGCGUCUGAUUAGCUGGUUGGCGGGGUAACGGCCCACCAAGGCGACGAUCAGUAGCCGGCCUGAGAGGGUGAACGGCCACAUUGGGACUGAGACACGGCCCAAACUCCCACGGGAGGCAGCAGUGGGGAAUAUUGCACAAUGGGGGAAACCCUGAUGCAGCGACGCCGCGUGAGCGAAGAAGUAUCUCGGUAUGUAAAGCUCUAUCAGCAGGGAAGAAAAUGACGGUACCUGACUAAGAAGCCCCGGCUAACUACGUG